rnacentral:sRNA from 1 species
CCUCCUCGAUCUGCUGCGGACAAAUGAAAUGAAUGUGGGUGUCGAUCCCCCCGGCGGUCACGAUGCAGCCCUCGCCGGCGAUCACCUCGGUCGCCGCGCCCACGAUCAUCGGGUUCUUUUUUCCGGUGCGCGGAUCCACGAACGUCGAACCGAGCCCGCUCUGAAUGCCGGGGUUUCCGCCGUGGCCGAUCCCGACGAUCAGUCCGUGCUUGAUGCCGAGGUCCGCCUUGAUCACGCCCAGCCGUGAAUCGAGGAUGAGCGCGUUGGUGAUGAUGAGGUCGAGUGAAUCGGCAUCGCGCGCCGUGGGCGACUGGCCCAUGCCAUCGCGAAU